AUAUGAUAACGAUUUUAAAUGAAAAAUAUUAAAAAAUCACAAAUUAAUUGAUACAAACUAAUCAAACUUUAAACAAAGAUGUAAAUAUAUUGUUAAUAUAUAUAAAAUUCGGGUUGGGUUGGGUCAAUCUAAAUUUUUGUUAGCCAACCCACGACCCAACCUAACCCAACAAAAAUAGAAUAAGUCGAACCGAACCCAACCCAAGAACAGGUUAUUUGAACACCCCUACCUUCCCUUAAUAAAUAAAUUAAAUAGGGCCGAUGGAGCUAUUCUCGAACCAAACCUCAUUUAUUCACCAUAUUUUUCAUUUAAAAUAAGAAAAAUAUUUAAGUACAUUUCAGGCUGGUCUAUCCUAAUUAUCCAAUCAUAAUUUAUCACAAGAUUUUUUUUACUUCUUUUUUAAAAUAUUUUUAUUCAUUAGUUGUGUUAAUUGUUAUUGUUAUAAUUGUUGUUGAGUGGUUAUAAUUUUGUAGGCUUAGUUUACAGAUUUUAUGUACUUAUUUUUAGUGUACUCGUGUAUUUUACCAAUUAGAUAUUAAAAAAUAUAGGGAUAUACCAAAUAGUUUUAUACGGUAUCAGAAUUUUACCGCCUUUCCCGUCCCACUAUCGCCACCAUGCACCAGCCAUUCAGAUCCAGCCGACAGCUUCAGACCCAGCCAAUGAAAGCACCUCCGUACGCUUCUAUAGUUGUCCCACUAUCGGCGUCGUGCACCAAUCAUUCAUAUCUAGCCGAAUCUGAUCCGUGAAACUCACUAGCCAUUCAGAUCUGGAAACCGCUCUCGGAUCCAGGCAAUGAAGUUGCCUCCGUCCUACCAGACUUCAGGUCACCAUCGACCCUGUUCGCCGUCGGCCCUGUUUAGCUUUCCACUGUUGUCUCGUUCUGCCUUCCGAUCACAACGGGUCUCGCUCGGUAGUUAGUCCACCCAACGCGUCAAAUUCUGAUCCACGUACGCUUUAGAUCUGAGGAAAAGCCACCGAGCCAACUGAGACGUGCCUCUCCGUGCCGAGCUGAGCCAUAAUUUGAGUCCAACCAUUUUUUGGAGUCAUAUUUCUUUUGCAUCUGUUUGUCUCCAUUUAGUUGCUAUUCUAACGAAGAAAUUGAUCUUUUUCGUCCUAUUAGCACUGUGUUGGACAACACCAGCUACAUCAUGUGGGCCUAUCAAAUGAAGAGGUUCUUGAUUGGGUGAAAGUUGUGGUGGAUUAUUAUCGGAGAUGUCACUCAACUUGUCCAAAGUAUCACUGAAGAAGAUAACAAGUUUAUUGAGAGGUUAAAGGAUUGGGAUAGCAAAAAUCACUAGAUAAUCACCUGGUUGAGUAACACUUCCACUCCGACCAUUUGUACCCAAUUUGAUGCAUUCCGCAUAAUUAGAGAGUUUUGGGAUUUUUGUCUACAUGGUUCCAAACCAUUGGUCUAGCUCACUAUUAUCAGUUGUACUCUACCCUAGUCAGCACCAAUUAGGAGGCGGGACAAUCCAUGAAUGAGUACCUGGCUAUUCUUUAACCCAUUUAAACUCUGUUAGAUCAGGCCAAAAUUAGCUUAGAUCAUCUGCUACUCAUCAAGGUUCUUAUGGGGUUCCGACCAGAAUAUGAAUUUGUUCGUGUUACCUUAUUGUAUCGUAAUCCCUUGCCAUCUCUUGAUGCUACAAUUCAAGAAAUCCUCUUUGAAGAAAAAGGCUUAGGUAUUGCCACAAACGUGGUCACAUUUUGGAUAGUUGUCCUACCAGACUGCUUUGCUCCCCCAGUUAUACUAAUAAGUCAAAGAAUUCUACCACGUUUGGCUUUCUACUUGUUGUUGCUGUUGCAACGUCUACUGAUGUGACAUCUUCCAUCCCUCAAAGUCUCCAGAUCAGUGAUUUUUGGGAUUUGCUCAAACAAGUGUUUUCUUCUAGUGCACCUACUCUACUGUCAUACUAGGUACAUCUUAGCUCAUUGAUUCGGCUUAUUGCAAUCAUAUGACCUCCAACAUUGCUCUAUUAUUUUCCUAUACCCCUGUCAAAUCACUUCCUCCCAUUCACUCCACUGACGGUAACCAUAUGACCAUUUCUCGAAUCGGUUCAAGAUCCACGGACGGGUUAGACAAUUGGUAUGGGUCACAAGGUAGGAAGAUUAUUUGAGCUCACAGUCUUUCAGCCAUUAGUUCCCCCACUUCUUUUUGUUGCUGUAACUGAUGCUGGUACAUUUCAGUGGCAUCUGCAUCUUGGUCAUGCAUCAUCUGACAAGAUUCAUAAUUUAAUUUCUAUUGGUAGUUUGAAUAAUUUUUCGCUAUUCAAUUCGUUUUGUUGUUUACAUUGCAAACUUACAAAGCAACUUGCUCUAUCGUUUUCUGCUUGUGGCUCACUAUGUGAUACUCCAUUUGGUUUGGUUCAUUAUGAUAUAUGGGGUCCUGCGCCUACUUCUACUGUCAAUGGUUUUCGAUAUUUUGUGUUAUUUAUUGAUGAUUACUUUCAUUUUACCUGGAUUUACUUUAUGAAACAUCACUUUUCCUUUACCCAAGUCUACAUUGAGUUUUCCAAAAUGGUCUACACUUAGUUUUCGCACACUAUCAAAGUUCUUCGCACCGAUAAUGCAAUGGAGUAUAAGAACUCCCACCUACUUUCUUUCCUCACCUAACAAGGCACUCUUAUCCAACGUUAGUGCCCUUAUACUUCCCAGCAAAAUGGUCGAGCUGAGCAAAAACAUUGUCAUAUCCUGGAUUUUGUCCAUGCUCAGCUUCUCUCUAUGUCUUGCCUUGAGAAGUUUUUGGGUGAGGCUGCCCUUACGUCUGCUUAUGUCAUUAAUUGCCUGCCCUUCACGACUGUUCACAAUCUGUCUCCUGUUGAAUGGUUGUAUGGUACUCUCUCAUUCUUACUCUCAUAUUAAAGUCUUUCAGUGUGUGUAUUUGCCCUUCUCCAUCCUCAUGAACAUACCAAACUCAAACCCAGAGCUCGUCUAUGUUAUUUUCUUAGUUAUGAAAUUGAGAUGAUGGGAUUCUAUUUCUAAAAGGCUUCAUAUCUCUCGUCAUGUCAUGUUUUGAGAACAUCGUAUAUUCUCUAGUAUAUCUUCUUUUCAUACUUCUCUCACUAGCCCCCAUCCAUUCUUCACUGAUCCCUCUAUUGAUCUCUUCCCUAUACGUGUUUCUUUGCCUUACUUUUUCUCUCUGUCUGUUCUUGAGCUUGAUUCAUCUUCUUCUACUGAUAUGCUCCCAGAUUUUCCUUCUACCCCCGAUGCGGAAUUAGAACCUAUAUCUGUCAUGUCUUUGGUUGAACCUUCCUUUUAUCAGGAAACCUAUACUAACCCUUGUUGGCAACAAACGAUGAAUGAGGAACUUCAAGCUUUGGAGAAAAUGCAUAUCUAGGAUUUUGUUGACUUACCUCUUGGUAAGAAGCCUAUCAGGUGUAAGUGCAUUUAUUAGAUCAAGACUCGCUCUGAUAGGUCUAUUGAAUGGCAUAAGGCUCGUCUGGUAGCUAAAGGGUAUUCCCAGAAGUAUGGUAUUGACUAUGUAGAAACUUUUAUUCCCAUUGCCCGAAUGACAUCUGUUCGAAGCUUGUUAGUCAUAGCUGCUGCUAAAUAGUGGCUCAUUCUUCAAAUGGAUGUUAAGAAUGAUUUUCUUAAUGACAAUCUAUUUAAAGAAGUUUACAUGAAGCCACUGCCUAGUAUUUCUUCUCCAUCUCAUAAAGUAUGUCUUCUUCGACGUGCUUUGUAUGGACUUAAACAAGCGCCCCGUGUCUGGUUUGCAACCUUCAGUGCCAUUGUCACCUAACUUGGAUUUGUCUCAAAUGCUCAUGACUUAGCUCUCUUUACAUGGCGUUGUUCUUCGGCUAUUGUAUGUGGAUGACAUGAUUAUCACUGGUAAUGAUUCUCAUGCUAUAUCGGAUUUACAAUGCUAUCUAGGAGAAUACUUUGAGAUGAAAGAUUUGGACCUUCUCAGUUAUUUUCUUGGUUUUCAAAUCUCAUCAUGUUUUGAAGGGUAUAAUUUAUCUUAUGCAAAAUAUGUGUAUGACCUUUUGGCGCAUUCUGGUAUCACUGAUGUUAUCAUUGCACCAACACCAUUGGGCUCCAAUGUCCGCCUUACCUCUUUUGAUGGUGUUCCUCUCAAGGAUCACACUUUGUAUCGGCAACUUGUUGGCAAUCUCAUCUACAUAACCGUGACAUACCUAGACAUUGCCUAUGAGGUUCAUGUGGUUAGUUAAUUCAUGUCUACUUUUCGCACUAUUCAUUUCGCUGUUGUUUUUUGUAUUUUGCGAUAAAGGCACCAUGGGACAUGGGCUUUAGUUCUCUUCUCCGUCUUCCUUGGUUCUCUCUGGCUAUAUUGAUGCUGACUAGGUUGGUGAUCUUACUCAUUGACAGUCCACCACAGGUUACUAUUUUUAUUUGAAUGAUUCUCUCAUCUCCUGGUAAAGUAAGAAACAAAUUGUUGUUUCUCGUUCUAGCACAGAGUCGGAAUAUCGGGAACUUGUUAAUGCUACUUCUGAAGUCUUAUGGUUUCGCCGACUUCUGGCUGAUAUGGGAGCUCCCCAGGUCUCAUCCACUAUUCUUCGUUGUGAAAAUCAUAGUGCUAUUCAGAUUGCGCAUAUUGAUGUGUUUCAUGAACUAAUGAAGCAUAUUGAGACUAAUUGCCACUUUGGUCAUCAUCAUCUUCAAAGCUCCACCUUGUGCCUUCAAGACAUAUCUACGACUGAACAACCAAUUGAUAUCUUCACUAAAGCACUCUCUCCUACACGUUUUGGUUAGUUAUCUUGAAAACUCAAGUUGGUCUCUACUCUACCAUCUUGAGUUUGAGGGGAGAUGUUAAUUGUUAUUGUUAUAAUUGUUAUGGGAGUUGUUGGAUGGUUACACUUUUGUAAGCUUAGUUUAAGAAUUUUAUGUACCUAUUUUUAGGUAGUCUUUUGUAUAUAUAUAAAUACAUGUGUAUUUUACCAAUUAGAUAUAAAAUGUAGUGAUAUAGUUUUAUAAUUUGUUGUGUAAUGAAUGUAA